AACAGAGAGGUCCAUGUGCUGCAAACGGUAUGGAAAUGUGAAAUCUGAUGCCAUCCACGCUGAAUUAUCAGACAGGAAUGCCUUUUCACCGCAUUUCGAUGAAGGCAAUAAACACGCUUGAAUCGCACCUGGGUCUUCAUUAGCGGUUUAACUCGGUGUCACCAACAUCUUCGAGGUUGAAAACACUACAGUGAAAAGGCACCAUUCGAUUAUUCAUCGUGGUCAAAAUGGCUACCAGCAACAAGUCUGCACGCAGCUUCAGGACCGGCCACUCGUCUGGAUCAGCAGCAAGCGCUGCCCACGCUCGAGCUAAAGCAGAAGCUGCUAAGGUUAGAGCUCUCUAUGCAAGUAAAGAAGCACAAUUGAAAGUGGAAAAAGCACGAAGUGAUCUGGAAAAGGCUAAAAUAGAUGCAGAAUUGGAAAUGUUAACGUUGCAAAGAGAAGCCGAUGCUGCAGUAGCUGAGGCACAAGUGCUAGAAGAAGCUGAGGCAAUACAAGAGGAGCCAGAG